rnacentral:tRNA from 1 species
GGCUGGAUAGCCCAACUGGCAGAGGCAUUGGUCUUAAAAACCAUUCAGUGUGGGUCCGAAUCCCUCUCCAGCUA